AAUUUUGGACAAUGGGGGAAACCCUGAUCCAGCCAUAACGCGUGUAUGAUGAAGGCCUUCGGGUUGUAAAGUACUUUUGGCAGAGAAGAAAAGGUAUCUCCUAAUACGUGAUAUUGCUGACGUUAUCUGCUGAAUAAGCACCGGCUAACUACGUUCCGUCAUCCGCGGUAAUACGUAGGGUGCAAGCGUGAAUCGGAAUUACUGGGCGUAAAGCGUGACUAGGCGGUUCGGAAAGAAAGAUGUGAAAUCCCAGGGCUCAACCUUGGAACUGCAUUUUUAACUGCCGAGCUAGAGUAUGUCAGAGGGGAGUAGAAUUCCACGUGUAGCAGUGAAAUGCGUAGAUAUGUGGAGGAAUACCGAUGGCGAAGGCAGCCCCCUGGGAUAAUACUGACGCUCAGACACGAAAGCGUGGGGAGCAAACAGG
rnacentral:rRNA from 1 species